rnacentral:lncRNA from 1 species
AAAUUCCGUCGGGACCCGGUUGCUGCUGGUGCCACUGCAAAUGACGAUUUUUUUCAUUUCCGUUCGCCGGUGUAAAGAAGUCCCAGCUCCAACACGGUGUCAUCCGACAGCAGCAGAACAAGCAGCUGUUCAUAGAGAUCCUAAAUAGGGAGACUGGUCGAAGGUCUCUAGCUGUUCAUUGUGGAAGGUCGUUUGUUUUUGUUUUUUCGUCACGUCCGUGGUCUGCAGCGCCGGCACGAAACCCAAACUGGAGGUUUCCUCCACCGAAGAGCAGGCGGCCGGGACGUAAGUCGACGAAGUGGAGGCGAAUUGUGUCGUUUAGUGAGGAGGAAACGUCGGGAAGGCCAGCCCCUCAUCGGUCAAGAAAUCCCCGAGCGACAGCAUUCCAGGAGGAGGAGAAAAAUGAGCAUGAGCAUGAGCAUGAGCAUGGUUGACUGCCAAUGAGCUGCUACUCCGUUAUUGACAGAUCAGCUGAAGUUAAACAAUGAAUCAAAAAUGAUCAGUGGGAGCCAACCAUCCGUUC